rnacentral:rRNA from 1 species
ACCCCUACGGGAGGCAGCAGUCGAGAAUCUUCGGCAAUGGACGAAAGUCUGACCGAGCGACGCCGCGUGCGGGAUGAAGGCCCUCGGGUUGUAAACCGCUGUCAGUUGGGAGGAAAGGAACGUGAAGAGCGUUUCUUGACCGAUCUUCAGAGGAAGGACGGGCUAAGUUCGUGCCAGCAGCCGCGGUAA